AAGCUGGAAUUGCUAGUAAUGGCAGGUCAGCAUACUGCCGUGAAUACGUUCCCGGGCCUUGAACACACCGCCCGUCACACCAUGAGAGUUGGGAAUACCCGAAGCCUGUGAGCUAACUUAUAGAGGCAGCAGUCGAAGGUAGAAUCAAUGAUUGGGGUGAAGUCGUAACAAGGUACC
rnacentral:rRNA from 1 species